ensembl:lncRNA
GUAUCAUUUUCACUCCUAAUGAACAUGUGUCUUGUCAACAAGUUAUUGCAAGUACUUUCCAACUCAGAUAUCUAUUACCAGGUCAAACGGUGAGCUGUUCAGCACAGUGCCUUCCCCUUCAACAUAAAAGAAACAGUCUUCCUUGCAAGGUCCCUAUGCUAGGAGCAGGGGAGCACCACUUGUCCUCACCACCACCAACAGACCACCACUGGACAGGUGCCUGGAGACCGCAAGCAACCAAAUCAUGAGCAGUGGAACUUGUGAGGUCAGUGGUGCACCUUGGUUGCCUUAAAUGGCCACUGCUGGCCAUUCUGCAGGCAGGUCUGAGUCAACAGGAG